rnacentral:pre_miRNA from 1 species
AGUAAAAUUGUUGGGUUGUGUGGUAAUUUUGUUUAGUUUUAUAUGAAAUUGCAAAACUAUUUUCAAAAGUGGAUGUACCAUUUUACAUUUCCACCAGCAAU